GUAUGAGCUGCUGCAAACAGAAGGCUUCUGCUGAAGAAACAGUGCAACCCGUGACAAAGCACCAUUUAUGAAGAUGGAAAAGAAAGAAGCUCAGAUUGCAUAAUCAGAGAGAAAAAUGAGAAACUUUGUCCUGGAGCAGUACCAGUGCUGGUGAAGGAACUGUGAAUUUGGGGCAGAAGGUCCCAGAGGGCUGAUCACACAGGUCCAUUUCCACAGUUAGCACACCAAACUGAAACGCAUAGGCUCUCAGUUACGGGCACGGCACAGCGAUUUGCCAGUAUGUCUGCUGAGCAGCUGGAGCUGGCAUCAGCUGCCAAGGGCCUUGGUGGAGUUUGUUUUCAUGUGGGAGAACUGUGAGUUUCCUGGUGAGCAGGAGCAGGCAGAAGUGAAGGAAGAGGAGAAGAUGAAAAUAUGCCAAAGAAAGAAGUGUCUUAACAUGUUCCCCCCAAAGAACAGUGUAAGUAUUUUCUUCACCAGAACACUCACUACCUCAGUCAGCUGUCUACUGAUGGGCAUACCUUCCUGUGUGCUAAAGAGAAAGGGAGAGGCAGAAUGGUUAAAGCCAAAGCAGUGUCUUAGCUUGGGCUGCAACUCUGCUCGCUUUGCAGCACAUCAUCAGCUUCACUCAAAUGGAACAGUCCUUCCCUGACCUAACCACAAUCUGCCCAAGGUCCCCAAAUUAUUCCCACAAGUUAUACUACAACAGCUAUGACUUGCUGGGAAAGAAUCCUACAGCAGCUAAGCACAAGGAAACGUGAUUUUGCUCUUGGACAUACAGGAAAUGCAGAAGCCAAAAGGUGGGUGGGUCUUUGCUUUGGGAACAGGAAUAUUUGAGCCAUGUAGACAGACCUGGGUACCAGUUAUUUAGGUUGUAUAAACAUAAAAUAGCUUUGUGCAGACUUGCUCAGUCACAGUAGAUUCUACUUUCUAGCUGCAUUCAUAAAGAAAACAUGGUUUUUCACUGUCUGCAAAUCAGUCCAUUGAUGUUUAACAAGUAUGCAUUUAAUUUGAUGCUUACAGUGAGCUACCAGGACUAAGCAUUUAAUUUGCAUUUGAAUUCUUUUAUACUUGACAUGCAUCUGAUUUAAUCUUAAUUUUUAUAUCUUAUUAUAUAUAUAUAAAUAUCUUAAUUUUUAUAUUUUAUGUUGUGAAAAUAGAGUGAUUUUUCUGUGUUUCUCAUACUAGUUUUAUUCUUUUGGCCAGAAAUUGGAAAGAAAUAUUUUUUAUUAUUUUUAUUAGCUGAUGAAGCAGUUGAAAUAUGCUGAGUUUUUGUUGUUUUUUUAAUUAAAACAUAGCAUUUUGAAAUGGAGUUGAUAUAGAAAAUAAAGCGUGCGAUUAAUAGAACUGUUUGCUUCUGGUCCCUCUGGGUAUAUGUAAACCUUUGUGAACUGUACAAGGAGCCUGGCUAACCUCAUUCCCUGGUAACUCAGACUGUUCUGCUUGCGCAGCCAGGGAAAAUCACAGGGUUGCUAGACCUGGGAAGAAGGAUGAGGUGUUACUGUGUCAUGUCCCAGUAAGCCACUGUGAACCAGCUACAACGUGAACUCAGCUGAGGAAGCUGUGAAGCAAUUCUUGAUCCAACUGUUUAAGCACAACCUAAAUCCCUUCAGACGUUAGAGCCAGUUACUUUCUCAGUUCAUGAUUCAGCUUUCUUUACAAAUUCUGGCAGCAUACUAAUGCCAGUGCACAUUGCCAGUGCAGACAUGGCAUUUUCAGAUUCUUACACCGGUAUUUCGUAAUAGCUUGCUGGUAAUAGAUAAUUAUUGAAAUUUCCUUUAAAAGGGUUUGCCUACCUCUAAGAAAUUAGUGUGAAAUAAGUUGCUAUGCGAAUGCAAAUGCUGCAGGUAUCCUGAAAUUGCUCCCGACAUGGAAACAUUUACAUGCCAGGCAACCAGGUAAACUGUCAGAUACUGCUUUUUCAAGAGGCUGUUGAACAUCACCGAUUCAGUUUUAAAUACUGAGUUAUUCCAGACUAAUUUUACAAAAGUAGCUACUUAUUUUAGAAAGGAAAAGAAAAUUCCUCCUAGUUUAAGACAAACGAUGAGGAAAAGUGUCUGUGCAAGGAAUAAUUCUGGAGUAGUUAGAACAAGCCCUUCAUUUUUUACAUGACCACUUCACGUUUUUCACUGGCCACCUGUUAAGCGCUGAUCUGAUUAUAAAAUAAGGCAAUGUUUCAAGGCCUUCCAUAUAACAGAUUUAUCUAAGUCCCAAACUUCUUUACUGAGACUCUUCCUACGACAUUCAUCAAGUUGCUGAUUCACUUGCAGCAAAGCAAGCACUUGUUCAGCUUAAGAUGUUACAGUCCUGCCUGCCAACCUGCUAGAGGUUCUCCUCUGUUCCAGAGUCAGCAGAGCCAACCUGUGCCUCAGCCAGUGCAGUUCAAAGUCUGUCAGCUUAGCAACCACCUACCAUUAUUAUGCCUUAAGCAAAAAUAUCCGAAUGUGAAAUGGGGAGGCGGAGGACAGACACAUACUCCUUCUGCCACCUUAUAAAAGAGUGGUAAUACCUUAAACAUUAAAAGCAGAUUUGCCAGUGCUUGUCUGUCAAAAGGCCUCCAGACAACAUGCACCUUUUAGGAAUUCUCCCAAAGUGCUAAAGGCAAGACUAUAAUCAUCCUUCUGUUAGAGCCUAGAGAAUGAAAUGUGAUCCUCUACGCCUCUUUCCCUUACCUUUUUGGAAAGUAACUUCAAACACCAUGAGCUUAUAUAUGCAUGUAAAAGAUUAUAAGACUGACUGUUAUUCAGCUAUUCUCUCUAUUGUAUCUGCGUUCCAGUUUUACCUUAUUUCUUUCUCUGUACAUUUGAUUCCCAAAUUACUAUAAUGUUAUUUUUAAUAUGAGCUUUAUAUAUAUUUGUCAUAUGGACAGAGUAUCUUGAUGAAGCUGUGUUACAGAACUGAAAGCAUCUUCCUUUCUGUAGUUAAGUCUGUUACGUCUCCGCUUUGUAAUAUGGUAUGCACAAAUGCCUUCUCACUGGAAAUGUGCAUCUGAUUCCAACAGUGUAAUAAAUGUCCUUACCACUGUUACCUCUGUGUCAGCAGGGAAGAAAAUGUAAGGCUUGUAGCAACACCCUCAGCUAGCCCUGAGUGAGUGUCUUACAUAGGUGUUCAUAAAGAUAAGAAAACUUUUCAACUGCUAAAAUAGUCAUCUGUUCAAUUAAGAAAUCCAGUAGAUUUAUCUGCCGUUCAUCUGCCUUUGUAUGUUGAAAUGUUGUAGUUGAUGAACUUCGGUGAAGUAGGACUGAUGCGUUAAAGGUGACUUUUCUUGACAAAACUUUGUGCACUAUAAAAUGUUCAUCAGGACAAGUUGAGGUGUGCAGCACUAGUGCCUAAAACUGGGGUUUUGCCAUUCCAAAUGACCAGUGGCCAUUUCUUCAGAGAGUCUCAGUCUUCUCUUUUGAAUGAUUUUUCUAUCCAAGGUUCACCAUAACAUUUAAACUCUUGGUUGCUGACUUUUCUAUGGUGGCUUCUUUUCUGCUUUCACAAUAUGAUGCCAAAGAGCAGAGAAAUUACAACCAACCAAACAAAAAAGUAGCACUGUGAUGUGAUAGACCAGAUUGCACAUGUAAGCAUAUGUAUAACUUUUUAUGUAUAACUUCUGCCAGAGAAAAUGAGAGAUCUUAUCUGUAUAUGCUGAGAGUGGGAUAAAGUGAACAAAUAUUUAAGUACUUUUGUGUUCACGUCGUGGGAGAGCAGAAGGAAAUAAUCUGAAUUUCUGGACCAAAAAUAAUGAAAUGACUGCUAAAUAGUGCAGAAGAAUAUUCUCGAUGUGAACGGAAAGGGAGUGUGAUGCCUUGCGCCAUUUUCCACAUUGGCUGUGGAAAAAUCUCCUAGAUUCAGGCAAGGUACGGACGUGUGGGAAGAAAGAGGGAAUGGAAAAUGAAAUAGAAAGCACAUCAAAGAGGUGUCUGUAUUUAUCCCCUUUUGGCAGGUGGAAAAACUGAGUUAGAGAAAUGAUUUACACAUAUUCCGCUUUCACUUGUCAUUUUCAGAGCCAAAAAUUACCACCUCCCAGUCCUAAACAUUAACCACAAGAGUACUUCUCUGUACUAUCCUAUCUGUUAUUUGUUUUACCUUGUUUUGAGUUUUAAGAAUGCCUAUGAUCUGCAUAAACGUGUUGAAACGCACAAUGAUUCAGAUGCCUACAGCUGCGAUGUUGAAGGAUGUGGUUUUACUUCAUGGACUUUACAAACCCGGAGACGGCACGACAAGAGAGCACAUGUGGUUUUGUGUAAGAGAUUCAGAUAUUGAAUUAAAGGCUGUCUGAAGUUUGGUCCAGCUUUAGACAGACUGUGAAACACUGUGAAACAAUCCACUUAGAUUUUGCUGUCAUUGUGGAAAACCUAAUGUAAAAGUGGCUUAAGUCUUCUUGUUUUUAUAGCUUUUACUAUUGGGGAAGUCUUGCAAUUCCAGAGUCUUUUAAGAACAUUUAUUGACUUUUUAAUUGUCUCUACUGAGGAAAUAAACUGUGCAUAAAUAUAUCAACAGCUUCAAUAGUACAAACAAGCUGUACUCUCCAUUUUGGCACAAGAAAAUUCAGUAAAUAGAUGUAAUUACAAAUAUUUGUCUCUUAUUUUCUGUUCAGUUGUGUAUUUUCUGAGCUUAUUGGAAUCCUGCUGCAGUCAGUUCUCUUCACAUUGAG
ensembl:lncRNA